CUCUAGCUGCCAGACAGAUGAGCACUUCAUCAUCAAACUUGUAAGGACAGCUGAUUCUCACCCUUCUGCAAGCAAAAUCCUCUUAAUCACAGUGAGGUUAAGAGGAUUUUCUGGGAAGUUCUCAACACAACAGUCCCCACGGUGGAAAUCUGCGCUGAACAAUCACUCACGUAAAAGCACCUUUCUCCAUGGGCACUGCACAAACUAGGACCUCUGUGUUCAAGAAGAGUGGGAAAAUCUGAUGAAUAGCAAGAUCUGCUCCGGAUUCAGAUACUUCUGGAGAGGGACAGUUUUACAGGGCAACCAAAAGUUGUAUUCCAGCUUUUGACCACGGGUCAAGGGUCCCCUGGGUUUUGUACAGUGGAAUGGAGGAUCUAUUUAGGUAUAUCUUAGGAUGCCUGUUGAGUAAAAAUGACCUUUACUAGUUAGACAUUGUGCCUCUGAGUGUACAGGUUGAAUGGUGCACAUUCAGUGAGUCAGCAUUUAAUACUUGGGCCCCCUUUUGGUUUUUAAGUUUCUGAACUGAUCAAAUAAAGACUGAACAUACAGUUAUUCACAAUAUUUUCUCUCUUCCUCCUCCCCCCACAUUAAGAUUAGGCAGCAGAUUCAGAGACCACUGAGAUUAAAGAACAAGCAAGGAAACAAAAAAACUUCCGUAAUUUUAGGCAAUUUGGACAUGGCCCUGAGAGAACUGUACAGGAAAAAUAUCUGAUGAUUCAAACGUAUUAUCAGAACUUCUCCUAGGAGCAGGGAUUUUGCUUAGAUAGGCUAAAAACUUCUCUAGAUCCAUACUCAGCCAAAGGUAUCUUGUUACAUCUCAAAACUCAGAUACCACAACAUUAGAGUUUAGUUGCACUACCCAAACAGCUGUAAGUUUUAUGAGCAAUGUUAGGAUUCACACCGGGAAAAUCACUAGAAAAACAAUUAUAUACAGAAGCAGAUGGUUAAAGACUAACUAAAAAUUGGAAGACUUACUAAACACAUCCUAUUUGAGUUUAAGGUCCAGUCAAAUGCACGUCACCAAGGAACUCCUUUAAAAGACAAUGCAUCCAACAAGCUGCAAAAUUUAAAUCCUCAAUUUUAAGAAUUUUACCUGAAAAUCAGAGAUGAAAGUGAAUAAACAGCUCAGCUGUCUCGGUUUCUCAGCUCUUCCAUCAAAUGUAUACCUUGCAUUUCAGCCUGAAAAAUCUUUCUUUACAGCCACAUGUGUUGCAGAGAACUUUACUCCUAAUGUUAUAAUUUCAAGGCAAUAAGUAGCUGCCAAAUAAUCUCUGCAUUGAGAGACUGCUGGUCACAGCUCAAUUAAUUGAGUCACUGACCUGAGCAGUGCCUUAAUCAAUGUUUUAAUCAAUUUUUUAUGAACAAAUUCAAAACUACUAAACACUUCUUUCACUGGUCCAACAAGAUAGAAAUGUGCUAACUUGGUGUAGAAGCCCAGAAGACAAGGGCAUUCUAAUUGAAAUGACUUGUUUCCCCUCUUCAUUAAAAACUCCUAAUUUAAAAAGAGCCUCAUGUUCACCUGCAUCUAAACCCAUGUAAAGUGAAUUACACAGAUGAAAAACUGAGCAUUCAAGCCAGAGAAAGAAACAAACACCCCUGAAGACUUCAGAGGCAUUUUUAACUGAGUUGUAAUACAGGAAUCCAAACAGCAUCUUACUGUGUCUGCUUUUGCUUUGCCGUAAAUAAUGACACACAGCUGUAUUUACACUGCUGAAUAUUUAGGUAAAAUGUGUCUGCAACCUGUGUAAGGUAAGCAAUGCAUUUUUGCUGUUGUAACAUUAACUUUUGGCUUUUCUGACCUGUGCGUUCAAAAUGUUCCUUGCCUUAACACCCCCUUCAUUUUCUCUGCCCUGAAUAGUUGCACACACAGUGUGCAGACCUGUUUCAUGUUCCCAAUGCUAGAAUUCCAAGCUGCACUUUGAUCAUGGCCCAAUGAGUGGUAAUUUUCUAUGUUGAACAUGUCAGUCUGGAAAAAAAAAGAAGAGGAAAAAAAAAGAACAAACUGUUCCCAGUCUCUGAAAUUUAAAAACAAAAAAUCCACAGUUCCCAAAGUUAUCUGCUUCUUAUCAAGAUCUGUGUUUGGCACCAGAUGCAUUUGAUUCAUUCAUCAUUGUCAGUGCACUCACAUACUAAUUAUUUCAAAUUGUUUCCUUGGGCAGAGGUCUAGGACAAAUGCAGGCAAGCCAAAAAUAGCAGUUAUGAAUAAUUAUGCAUAAUUUACCUCAAGGCCUGGGCCAGGCUAUCAUUAAAACUUCUUCUUUCCACCUGUGAUCCCAGCUAAUUGUGGACUUUAAAUUAGUUCAAGAUUACUUUUUCUUUUUUUUUUUUAAUACGAUGCCAACAUUUAACCUUCCCAUUAGAAGUUUUCUGAUGCUUUAAAAAUUUCCAGUGAAAUGUCAACAAGGUUCCUUCUUUUUUAACCAUGCCUUUGUAUUUCCCAGCCUGACAACAAAGUUUGCUAACAGGAAAAACUUCAGAGACAAGGUCAGCACACGCAGCCUCACGUUAAGGCUGCCAAACAAGGUUCUCAGAAAAGCACAGUUCCUCUCCCUCAACCUCAAAGUUCUGAUGCUCCAAAACUAAAGCUGGUUUAGUCCCUUAAACUUUCCCUAUUAAAGUUCUGACUCCUUCUGGAGACAAGAAGAGAACUUUCCCAAUGCUGACAUUUCAAACAACAACAAAACCAAAAUUUAUAAAACACUUGCUCCUCUAAACUCAGAAGUAUCUGUUUAAUUCUACAGACAGCAACUCAUUAAUUCCAAUGGGAUCCAAAGGGGUGAGUAAUGAAGGUGUAGAUGGUUUUGCAGAACUGGAGCCUUAUUCCAUUAGUUGUAAUGAAUGUACCUCCUAUGUUGUUGUGCUGCUUUAACUCUUUAAAUUCCAGCUUUGAAAUAAAAACUGAUGAAAAAAAAGGAAAACCCACCCUGAAGAUUUCCAGGAGAAGAAACAUAUACCUCCAAAAAAGCAAGUGUAUGUACUACUGAUAAUUCCUAAAUACUCUCCAGUUUGGGAACACAGUACAAGCUUCACUUUUGAGACAACAGAAAAUAUGUAACAGUAGCCAGAGCUAUUAAUGCACAAAUUAUAAGCAUUGCUUACUCAGAAAAAAACCAUCUACGAAUUCCUCCAUUCGGGCUCUCAAACAUCAGACCUCACAGGGACAAAAAAUACUUCACUGUUCAGUUAACAGUGCAAGUCAUGCAGGAACCAGACCAGCUAAGUUGUGAAGCCUUGGGAGCCAAGGGUAUGUUUAUGUACUUCCCUUAUUCAAGAUAACAAAAAAUAUCAGAGCAGAUAUUUAAAAAAAAAAAGUUAGAUUCAGUAACAAAAUGAACAAAAUGUAAGACAUUAUUAAAAAGAAAACACACACACAGGAAAAGAUGAAUUCAAGCUGUCUUCUGGAUAGCUACUUAAAACAUUAAUCACAAAAUAGCUCUUCUAAUAAAUUCAGAUAUUCCUAAAAUAUUAAUGAAGUUUACAUGGUAUGACCAGUUCUAAAGCUGACACACAAUUCUGCAUCAUCUACAGACUUUUGACAGGAGACAAAGCAAACUAACAUGUUCUAAGUUGGCCCUUACUAAGUUUCACAAACAUGAUAAGAAAAAAACCCAAAGAUUGCAGUUCAAUUCCUUUAAAAAUAGAAAAAAACCAAAAAUGAAUUCAUUAAACACUUGCUCCUCCAAAUUCAGAUGUAUCUGUUUAAUUCUACAGACAGCACACUCAUUAAUUGCAGGGGGAUCCAAAGGGGUGAGUGAUGAAGGUGUAGAUGAUCUCCCAGAACUCUGGGUGCUCUGGCAUCCCCACCUGACUUACAGAGAGAGCUGCACUGGCUGUCUUUGCACCACAUUAUUCUGUGUUAGGGCAUCUCCUGCUGAACUGCAUGGGACAAACUGCCUGUAUCUGUGCCUUCAGACAAAGUCAACUGAAAAAAGGUGGGAAUGCUGGAAAAUGGAUACAGAAAAGGGAAGAAUGCAAAUUCAUUUCCUCUAUUGGAUAUCCUCGUGGCUGCCAUGUCAUUCAAGAGUCUUGUGAUUGUAGUUGAUCCAGCUUGUUUCACGCUGCAGGUCUAAAGUGAUUAUUAUCAAAAUAUUUCAUAUGUUCAGGGACUUUCAUUUACAUGUCUUGCCAAUGUGCCCAGAUCAUGGAACCCCUGCAAUUUUACACAACAAAUUUUGUUGUGGAGAGACCUGGCAGUCAUGUCUCAUCUCAGUUCUGUGUCAGACUUUGUUGUGGCUGAUUUACUACUAUGGAUCUUAUACUGCUGAAUUUAUUUACCAAUCUACUUGUGUUUGCUAUAAGGAGCAAGGAAGAGCUUUACAACUUGGAGAAUACAUCUCUCUCGAAUAGGUAUCUCCAGGUCCUUCAAGACUGAAUUAAUACAACCAUAGGGGACUAAGUUUUGGAAAUCAAAUGACCUUUUCAACUUUUAUUUUCUACAAGGAGAAGACAAAGGCAUUAAACUCAUCUCUCAGCUCUUUUCCAUCCAUCACACACACCUUCAAUGUGAGGUAUAGACUGUUAAAUGCUCCUCAAAGCAGAAGGAUUUUUAUUAUGAACAUCUUGUCAUAAGCAAAGUUUUCCCAAUCACUAAAACUAACAGGUAGUAUAAAUACCAGUGAUCACAGUUCUUCUUUCCUGACAUCACACAUGAAAUUGUAAAUUGAUAUAUGCACAGAGAAAUUCGUGUCUCAGCUGUAUAUGCAACAGAAGAAUUAAUAUCAGUCUUUAAAAAUCAUGAAAUGGAAUUUAGAAACAUCUGCAUGCUAAUCACUGAAACAAUAAAAAAAUGGAAGGUGUUUAGAAUAAAACAACUUUGUUUUCUAUUUGUCACGUUGUUUUUUUAAAGUGGCAAAUGAAAAGAUACAAUUUUCAUAAAAUGGAAGUAUUACAAGUUCAGUUACACAGCAACCAGUUUAUGUUGAAAUCAGUUGUUUAAAUCUUGUACUGGCUUAAUUUGCUUUUUUAUGGAGAAUCACAUUUUUUAAAUUGCAGGGUUAAGACUAUAGUUAUUACUUUAAAAUAUUUAUGAAAAAGACUCAUGAAAUUUCCUGUUGUUCUCUAAUUCAAAUAUGCUGGAGUCAUAGAUAAUCAAAUUGCAAAGGCCCAAACUUAGAAGGGUUCUUAUGUACCCAGAACAAGGAGGAUUUCCUUAGAUUAUAUCAAAAUAUGAAACAGCUAUUUUCCCUUCAAGUCAUAAACAGUGCCUGGCAUUCCUGCUUACUGUAUAAAUCAAAUAUUAAACAAAUCAAAUAUAAAUCCCUCUUUUACUAUCGCCAUAUUUCUAAUUUACCACAGCUCAGUGUAAUUUCAGUUUUGUGUACAAAUUGAAUCCAAGCAAUUAUGAAAUAAUUAAUAAAAUAUUAUUUUAAAAAAAGUACUAUGGGUUUUUUUAAGCACUUUAUAUGAUCCACUGCAUUCAUUCAAGCAGUCCCUUUGCAACCACUGUUAAUUCACACAUUCACAUUCUCAUAGUCAUUUGACUUUUUCUUCAUUGUGGAUCAUCUCUUAUUAUGGAGAAAAACUUUCUAGAUUCCUUCAAAUCAUAAUUAUCAGUUCAAACCUAGGGGACUGACUAGUGACUUUGUUUUUCACUAUUAGAAACACUUUGUCAGUUCAACAUUGACAAA